rnacentral:miRNA from 1 species
AGUUUGAGUGUGUGUGUGUGUGUGUGUGUGUGUGUGUGUGUACACACAUACAAACACACACACACACUGACAUU